UACGGAGGGUGCAAGCGUUAUCCGGAUUUACUGGGUUUAAAGGGUGCGCAGGCGGAUAUGUAAGUCAGUGGUGAAAUCUCCGGGCUUAACCCGGAAACUGCCGUUGAUACUAUAUAUCUUGAAUGCUGUGGAGGUAAGCAGAAUAUGUCAUGUAGCGGUGAAAUGCUUAGAGAUGACAUAGAAUACCUAUUGCGAAGGCAGCUUACUACGCAGAUAUUGACGCUCAUGCACGAAAGCGUGGGGAGCGAACAGG
rnacentral:rRNA from 1 species